CAGCUUCACCACUGCAAAAACUGUGCCUUAAAGUCAUUAUAACAUCAUUUUUUACAUUACUAGCAGACCUGAAAAUACAGAUAACUUGAAGUAUAGUUCCUCUAAUUCAGCUCUUUUCACCUAAAUUCACAUUUAAUUCCUGACAAUUCACACUUAACGGGUCACUUCAAGUUAGUCGAGAAGCAUUGUUGGGCUUUGGACGCACACGCGCGGGAGGCAGGGAAGGACCUGACUGGAGGGACUAUAG